rnacentral:rRNA from 1 species
GAUGAACGCUGGCGGCGUGCCUAACACAUGCAAGUCGAACGGAGUCGUUUUGGAAAUCUCUUCGGAGAUGGAAUUCUCGACUUAGUGGCGGACGGGUGAGUAACGCGUGAGCAAUCUGCCUUUAAGAGGGGGAUAACAGUCGGAAACGGCUGCUAAUACCGCAUAAAGCAUUAAAUUCGCAUGUUUUUGAUGCCAAAGGAGCAAUCCGCUUUUAGAUGAGCUCGCGUCUGAUUAGCUAGUUGGCGGGGUAACGGCCCACCAAGGCGACGAUCAGUAGCCGGACUGAGAGGUUGAACGGCCACAUGGGGACUGAGACACGGCCCAGACUCCUACGGGAGGCAGCAGGGGGGAAUAUUGCGCAAUGGGGGAAACCCUGACGAAGCAACGCCGCGUGAUGGAAGAAGGCCUUCGGGUUGUAAAGAUCUUUAAUCAGGGACGAAACAAAUGACGGUACCUGAAGAAUAAGCGCCGGCUAACUACGUG